UCAAAACUUACCUUAUAGUUAGGUAGGAGUGGAGAAGCAAGAACGAAGAUGAAAGAUUAAAAGAGGAAAAAAAAAAAAAUGGAGGCUUUGGUGUGCAAGAAAGUAGGUGAUCCAACAGCAUUGAAAUCAUCAAUAUCAGAGGCAGAUAAUGAUUCCCCAAUAAUUCUAAGCAAAACCCAUCCUAUCCCACAACUUAAGUCACCCACAUCAGUUAGAGUUAGAGUUAAAGCUACAAGCUUGAACUAUGCAAAUUACCUGCAAAUUUUAGGCAAGUAUCAAGAGAAACCUCCUCUUCCUUUCAUUCCUGGCUCUGAUUAUUCUGGCAUCGUUGAUGCUGUGGGUUCUGAUGUCUCACUUUUAAAGGUCGGUGACCGUGUUUGUUCCUUUGCUGCGCUUGGUUCCUUUGCUGAAUUCAUUGUUGCUGACCAGGCUGAAUUGUUUAAAGUGCCAGAUGGGUGUGAUUUGGUUGCUGCUGGUGCAUUACCUGUGGCUUUUGGCACCUCGCAUGUUGCACUUGUUCAUCGAGCUCAAUUGACUUCUGGUCAGGUGUUGUUGGUUCUUGGUGCAGCUGGAGGGGUUGGUAUUUCUGCUGUUCAAAUUGGCAAGGUUUGCGGGGCUGUUGUUAUUGCAGUUGCAAGGGGAGAUGAAAAGGUGCAGUUUUUGAAGUCAUUGGGAGUGGACCAUGUAGUGGACUCGAGCAAAGAGAGUGUCAUUGCAAGUGUCAAGGACUUCCUUAAAGCAAGGAAGCUCAAAGGGGUUGAUGUUUUGUAUGAUCCUGUUGGAGGCAAACUUACUAAAGAAAGCAUGAAGUUGUUGAAUUGGGGUGCUCAGAUUUUGGUUAUUGGUUUUGCUAGUGGGGAUGUACCUGUCAUCCCUGCAAAUAUUGCUCUUGUCAAGAACUGGACUGUGCAUGGACUUUAUUGGGGCAGCUAUAAAAUACAUCGACCUGUUGUGCUCGAAGAUUCAAUCCGGGAGCUGCUUUCCUGGGUGGCAAAGGGCCGGAUUACCAUCCACAUUUCUCAUACUUACAGUUUAUCAGAGGUCACUCAUGGUCAUGUAACAGCAUUUCCUGAAUGAAGGACUAGGUUUGUGAUAAUAUCUUCGUUUGGUCGAACAUAUGAAUCUACCAACAAGAAGUCAUCUACCAAUCAAAGCAUGGAUGGACAGAUCCUUUGAUGACAUCUGUCUAACCCAACAGCCAGUCUCGCGUUUGCUGCUAUUAAAGAUAGGAAGGCAAUUGGGAAGGUGAUGAUUGCUAUUGAUGAUGAAAGAAGUGUGAAAUCUAAGCUUUAAGUCAAUCAGGACUCAGAUGGGAUGGAAUGCAGAAUAUAUUCCUUUUUGCAGACUCUCCUUUUAAGUUACCCUUCAAGCAAUUUUCUCAUUUCUGUUUGAUACAA